rnacentral:lncRNA from 1 species
GCUGAGGCGUGAGAAUCUCUUGAACCCGGGAGAUGGAGGUUGCAGUGAGCAGAGAUCGUGCCACUGCACUCCAGCCUGGGUAACAGAGGGAGACUCCUCCUUCUCAAAAAAAUAAAUAAAUAAACUUGUGAGCUGGCCCCAACCCCUCCUAGCAAUCACAGCUCCCCGUACUGGUGCCGCCGCAGUAGCCAAGUUGCGACACUGCCCACGGCCCCUCCCUCUGAUGCAGAUUCAGGGCUUCUCUUCGAUCAUGUUGGGUUUUGAUUCUGUUUUUCCUUGACUGCAAAACCCUCUUUCCUCUCCUCUUUUGGGACAAGAGCCCUGGUUUUCUACGCUGCCCUUGGCCACCACACUGCCUGCCCCACGAGCUGGGAGGCAGGUUUUGUACAGUACGUUGUUAUUGAUAUGAUAUAAAACAUCAAACGUCAAAAAAA